AGCACUUCAUUAUAGAGGUCCUCAUUCCUAUUGCACGCCUUAGUUAGUUAUGUCCGGGCAAAAACUGAAGCUGUUCUAGGAUGUAGCAGGCACAGGACAUGACUGCCUCCUCGGCCUGCCUAUAUUUCAGUUAUCAAACCUGGCCUGUUAGUAAAGAAUGGAAGUCAAGAUACCCCAUCUAACUCCAACGCCUCAACAAAGAAUUCUGACACCUCCCAAAAGAAUUCGCUUUCCACCCAACAAACCAACCUUUAAAAAAAUUGUCACAGUGCCGACUUCUUCUCCAUCCAAUUCCUCAAUUCAAAUUCAUCUUCCUCUUCGACGACCCCAACACAAACCCAUCCAGAAAACCCACAAAAAUUCCAAUGAUUGUAAACCCAGCAAUCGUUCUACAGUGUCAGACGUUUUAGGCUUGUUGGACUGUCUUAAAAUCCCCGUUUCUCUCGACCUUUAUACUUCAUUUAUCGAUGAAUGUACAAAAAGUGGUGACCCCUUACUAGCAAUUGAACUCCAUAACCAUAUUAAGACGAGUUGUCUACGCCCUUCGUUGUCGAUAUUUAAUCGCCUGCUGUUGAUGUAUGUUUCGUGUAACUUGAUUGGAUAUGCACGGGAACUGUUUGAUAAAAUGACUGUGAGAAGUUCUUGUACUUGGGCUGUAAUGGUUGCUGGGUAUUUCGAAAAUGGUGAUUAUGGGGAGGUUAUUGAUCUGUUUUUGGAAAUGCGGUGUUCGGAGCGAGCUAAAGUUGAUGGUGAUAUGGAUGACAUAGUGGCUUCUGCUAUAGUUGUGUGUGUUCUUAAGGCUUGUGCUAAAACAGUGAAUGUGGAACUUGGCAAACAGGUACACGCUUGGGUUGUGAAGAUGGGUUAUGGCGAGAAUCUGGUUUUCAGUGGCUGUUUAAUGAGCUUUUAUGGGAAAGCAGGGUGUCUAGAAGGUUCUGACCAGGUUUUUGAUCAGGUUCCAUAUCGGAAUAAGGUGAUAUGGACAACUAAGAUUGUUAAUCAUUGCUACGAGGAGCAGUUUGAUGAGGCAUUUGAUGUGUUCAAACAAAUGGGGAGGGAGGGUGUAAAGAAGAAUAGUUAUACUUUUUCAAGUGUUCUCAAAGCAUGUGCGAGUAUGAGGGAUGGCAGAUGUUGUGGUCAACAAAUACAUGCAAAUGUUGUCAAGUUAGGACUGGAGCUUAAUGAGCAUGUACAGUGUGGGUUGGUUAACAUGUACGGUAAAGGCGGGUUAAUAAAGGACGCGCAGAAAGUUUUCAAGAUUUGUGGAAACAAUAGAAAUGUUGCUUGCUGGAAUGCAAUGCUUACUGGUUAUAUACAACAAGGGUUUGGCAUUGAAGCCUUUAGAAUCAUAUGUGAUAUGAAGGCAGCCGGCUUGCAACCCCAAGAAUCAUUACUCAAUGAAGUGAGGUUCAUUUGUGGGAGUACUUUGAUUGAGAAUACAAAAAGGUAGAUAUGAUUACUGGAGUGAUGAUUGCUAUUGGUUUUUGAAAGCAGAUUAGAAUCCUGCUUUGCACAUAUUUAUAUCAAGCUAAUGACAUUAUUGUGGCAUAUCAUAGCCGGACUAUUGAUGGAAGAUGUUUUCUGAUUCCUACUGAUAUUCUUUGAAGAGGAUUUGAAUAUUAUCUCCCUGAAAGAGUUCCCAUGCAACUAGCACAAACAUGUGCUGACUGUCUUGCCUAACUUUCGUCGACUUUAGAGGGACGUGAAUCCGCUUAUUUACAUGUAGAUAUAUGGAAAUUUCUGUCCAAGUACCAUAGUCAUUUCCUUUAUGGGUUAGUUUACAGACACAUCAUCACUGUAGAGACUGAUGUAGUGAUUGGAUCAAAGCAAUGAACUACUCAAUUUUGACUGAUGCAGGGUCUAGAAGCUUCUGUAUCAGCCAGUAAAAUGGUGUGGGCUGCCACACUUGGGUAGCUUUCUUUUUUUCCUUUAAGCACCUUUGAUAUAUAGACUGGCAAAAUUACUUGGUGUAAAAUUUGUUUGUACAUGGUUGUGGUAGUUGUGCUGCUAAAACAUAAUAAUGAUGCUGGAGUUUAGUUAUCUUUGUUGGUUGUGCUCCUGUACCCCAAUUCAACCACUUUCUAUGUGCAAAGCAAUAGUCAGCAAAUGCUCACUCAAUGUGCUUCCUCUAUAAAAGUGCUCUCUAAGUGGCUAUGCCGCUCUUCUUAUUUGUCAAGAAUUUUUGGUCUACAAGUAUCUAGAUCAAUUAGGAUCAGGCCAAGGUAGUUGAUCCAGAUGCUUUUAAAAUUCCUCCAUGACUAUUUCCGCCCUUCAGAUUGCUGCAUAAGAACAGUUUACCAAUAUUUAGAUGUGGCAGGAUCUACAAAAUAGCUUAUUAGUGAGAAUAAAGCUACAGUCUGGGUAUUUGAAUGUCUGUCCAGAUCUAUUGUGUAACUUUUUUAAGUAACAUUUAUACCUUCAUUGAUUUUCCCUUUCGUUUCUACACAUGGCACUGGUAUGCUUUUUUCCUGAAUUUGGAGAUGAAUUAAGCAGCCCAAUCAUUCAGCAACUUCGUUUCUGAGUGUUUCUGCAUUCAGUAAGAAUGAUAAGAAAAUUCACCAGAGCGCUACCAAGCUAGUUGAAUCUUCCUUAUUUUUUGAGCAUGUUUGCAUCAUUCUGCAUUUAUUUAAUGUUGAGUGUAGCCUGUCUGUCUUUGUUGGUCGGUCUUUCUGCAAGGGAAGGCCUUGUUCUUACAAUUAAAAGGACAGUUCUAAGUACUUUGAUUUUGAAAUCUGGUUGAUUAGCCAAGGUACUGGCAUUUGCAUUUUAGUAGUUUUUUUUUUCCCUGUAGCAUAUUGGUGAGUUUACAUUGCGACUUCAGGAUCCAGUGUAAGUAUAUGCUAUGCUACAGCCCAUAUCCAUACUGUUCAACUGGAGAAAAAGAGGAUAACCACGAGGAAAGCAGAUAGAAUUGCUAACUAAAUUAAGACGCCUUUAUGAUCUGUACCAGUUAUGAUGGUCAAGUAUUUCUGCUCUUAAACAAUUAGCAGCUUCUGAUGCUGUACUCUGUCUAUAGCAGUGACUUUAGCAACUUUCAUGAGUAGCAUCUAUCAGUCUUGCUUUUAGAGAGCCUAGCUGCAGGAGCAUAUCGGGGCCUUGCCCACCUGGGAACCCAUCAACACUGUUGGUAAGCAACUUGUUGGCUGUUCAACAAGCUGCUGCAAGGAAUACUGCAAUUCCUGAACAAAAUUCAACAGAGACUAUGACUUCCAACUUGGUAGGACUGCAAACUACUGCUCAUGCUACCCUGAGAGCUGAAAUAUCUUCAUCCAACUUGCUGGUGCCCACGCCAACAUCUCAACCUUCUGCAAUGCUGGUUAUUGCCCAUUCUUCAGCUAUCUCGUGAACUGGGACCACUGCAGCAUAUUCCCCAUCUUCACGGAAACUAACAAUGACCGGUUCCUCUGAGACCCUAUCAGGACCUUACCAUCCAUCAAUGCUUUCAACCAGUCAUUGGAGGCCACACCAUCCCAAACAUCUGUUUGUCAGAAAACUUCUAUGUGUGACAUGGAGUAAGGGCACCUGCUGCACAUGUACGACACAAUAUAUGCUUCAGUAGUUGUACAUCCAAAGUCCAGCCCCAGAUGCGCGUAACUUCAGUUAUCAAUAUACCAUUCAGUGUGCAGGUGACAUGAUUUGAGCUCAAUUCAGUGUGCAGGUGACCUGCUGCACACCAUUCAGUGUGCAGGUGACAUGAUUUGUGCUCAAUAUACCCCAGGAUUGCUGAAAUGCUAUAUCUGAACCACCUGGUAGGAUUAUCUAUUGGUGAGUACUGGUGGGUUGUCCGAUGGAUGGUGAAUCCUUCAUGGAUUUAGGUUAAGAUUUGUAGAGAUUCUUUUAUAAGAUAAUCUCUGUUGUCUGUGCUUUCUUUUUCGGCACCAGAUUAAUUUAUUGCUUCUCUAGGUGGGUGGUAAUUGAUGUCUUGCUCACUGAAAAGAAUAUAAGGAAGGAAACGCAACGCAAUUUACUUUUGUUGUUGCUUAUCUAA